UAAAUCAUCAACUUUUGGACUUGUUUUGCGCAGGUCGAAGCUUGAAAGUGGAGAGUGCUGGCCUCCUCAAGGAGGUUAGCUCCUCUGAAAUAAAUCAGCAAAGGCUUUUGAUCCUCCUUGCUAUGACGUUGAUAAGCAUUGUCUGCGUCUUGAAGGGGACUUGGCGUUUUGCUUUAAACUGGGCAACCUUGACAA
rnacentral:misc_RNA from 1 species